rnacentral:rRNA from 1 species
CAGUCGCCACGGUAAGACGAAGGUGGCGAGCGUUGUUCGGAAUCACUGGGCAUAAAGCGCACGUAGGCGGUGACGUAAGUCGGGUGUGAAAUCCCUCGGCCUAACCGAGGAACUGCGCCCGAUACUGCGUUGCUUGAGGAUCAGAGGGGUGCAUGGAAUUUCCGGUGGAGCGGUGAAAUGCGUUGAUAUCGGAAGGAACUCCGGCGGCGAAAGCGAUGCACUGGCUGAUUUCUGACGCUGAGGUGCGAAAGCCAGGGGAGCAAACGGGAUUAGAUACCCCGGUAGUCCCUGUCUCUUAUAC